CAUGGUUACAUCUAAACCAACCAAAAGUUGUGAUUUAUUUACACGCUGUCUGUCUCUGUAUCUGCAUUGCAAGGCUUGUUUACUGGGUCGAUUUAAGGCAAACUGUGACACAUAUGGCCUUCUUCGGUUUAACACAUUUGGGUUAUCAAAACCCAAUUGGCGACAAGUUGAUAGUGAAUCCCAAAGGAGCGUCUCGCCCUCAGGGUGGUGGGCUUAACAUCAGCGCAGGACUGCCUCCGUCUCUUCAAGAACAACAGGGCCCCCUCAGAUGUACGGACAUAUGCAACGUUUACCACCAGCCUCUUGCCUACGGCACUGACAUACACCAAGGAAGCCAUGAGCGAUACAAGGAGAUGGUCAAACGGGGUCAAACACCCAGAUCCCCGAACCAGCUGUACAUAAUGCCUCUGACAGACAGCCAGCAAUAUGGAUGGUUGAUGUCCAACAGUCCUGCACCAUGGACACAAGUCAAAAGGUUUCCCCGAAAGAACAGUGAGAUGACCAAAAAUGCACCAGGGGACUGAAUCACCUGUCAAGCAGCCAAGAAUCACCACUGAAUGUCACGAUGAGGAGCUCAAACUGACCGGAUACUAACCGCCAGGAAAAAAUAAGUCUAGCUGUUUCCAAGAGCCUGACAGAAGAGCAUGCCUACCUGUUGUUGAUUCUCCCUCUGCAGAUGUAAUCGGGCCUGGAUGUAUCCUCUGGUCUCCUGGAAG